UGAGCAUCCACCAGAGAGUGCGCGAGAGCUGCAGUACCCACCAGGCUGAGCGCUCCAGUUUGCGCUUGCGCACAAGCGCUCCUCCCGCCCCAAGCAGAUCGUGCUGCCAGCUGCUGCUCUCCAGAGAAGUGAUGCCUAGGUCCCUGGAGGGAACAGUGGAAUCUUGAUUAACUUUGAUAGUAUCCGAAUUUUUCCUUCUCCUGUGGAAACAAAGGCGAAACCCCUUCCUCAACGUAACACAUGUCCUGGUUUCCAUACAGAGGUGUAUACGGACUUUGGACUACUUUACUUACCUCUCCUGAUUUAUAACCUGCCUUACCUGAUUUGUUGACAUCAGUGUAGAAGAUAUUUAACGUGCCUGGUGAGUGUUCCAGCAUCUGUUAUAUGAGAGAGUUGAAGCACAUAAAUUACCAGUCUGCAUUCUCCAGGCUCCAAUCAUGUGAUUUCAGGCUUUGGAGGAAGUAUGAUGUUGUGUCUCUUCAGCCUUGUGGAAAGGAUUUAACAAGCAGCUUAGUAUGUAAGGGCAGCUGCUCUUAUUUCAGAAUAAUAUGACAACUGUGUAUCUAAAUGACUCUUCUGUGUCUAAUAAAGCCAAAAUGAGA
rnacentral:lncRNA from 1 species